CAUGAGUGGCGGACGGGUGAGUAACGCGUGGGCAACCUGGCCUGUACAGGGGGAUAACACUUAGAAAUAGGUGCUAAUACCGCAUAACGGGGGAAGCCGCAUGGCUUUUCCCUGUAAACUCCGGUGGUACAGGAUGGGCCCGCGUCUGAUUAGCCAGUUGGCAGGGUAACGGCCUACCAAAGCGACGAUCAGUAGCCGGCCUGAGAGGGCGGACGGCCACACUGGGACUGAGACACGGCCCAGACUCCUACGGAAGGCAGCAG
rnacentral:rRNA from 1 species